rnacentral:rRNA from 1 species
GAUGAACGCUGGCGGCGUGCUUAACACAUGCAAGUCGAACGGAAAGGCUCCUGCUUGCAGGGGUACUUGAGUGGCGCACGGGUGAGUAUCACGUGGGUGAUCUGCCCUGAACUUCGGGGUAAGCCUGGGAAACUGGGUCUCAUACCGGAUAGGACGAUUUGUUGGAUGCGAUUGUGGAAAGUUUUUCGGUGUGGGAUGAGCUCGCGGCCUAUUAGCUUGUUGGUUGGGUAAUGGCCUACCAAGGCGUCGACGGGUAGCCCGCCUGAGAGGGUGUACGGCGACAUUGGGCCUGAGAUACGGCCCAGACGCCUACGGGAGGCAGCAGUGGGGAAUAUUGCACAAUGGGCGCAAGCCUGAGGCAGCGACGCCGCGUGGGGGAUGACGGCCUUCGGGUUGUAAACUCCUUUCGCUAGGGACGAAGCGCAAGUGACGGUACCUGGAGAAGAAGCACCGGCUAACUACGUG